ACCUUUCGGGCAACAGCAUAACCACAAUACUGGAGAAUGCAUUUAGUGGUCUGUCAAGUCUACCAAUUCUAGACCUACGUAGCAGCAGCAUAACCACAAUACAGGAGAAUGCAUUUAAUGGUCUGUCACAUCUACGGACUCUAUACCUAUCCAAUAACAGAAUAACCACAAUACAGGAGAAUGCAUUUAGUGACCGGUC